AGGUUCUUAGCUUAAGUUAAAGUGCCUGGGUUGCAGUCAGGUGAUGUGAAUUAGUGUUUGCAGGCCUUC
rnacentral:tRNA from 1 species